ACUAUGGAGAGUUUGAUCCUGGCUCAGGAUGAACGCUAGCGGCAGGCCUAACACAUGCAAGUCGAGGGGCA
rnacentral:rRNA from 1 species